AAGACUAUACUUUCAGGGAUCAUUUCUAUAGUUUGAUAAGAGGCUUCAGUAGCUGACAAAGGAUGUCAUGAAGAAGACCGAAAAAGAGUGGC
ensembl:snoRNA U3 Small nucleolar RNA U3